rnacentral:rRNA from 1 species
CGGGCUGAGUACAGCGGCGGACGGGUGAGUAACGCGUAGGAAUCUACCUGGUAGUGGGGGACAACUUGGGGAAACCCAAGCUAAUACCGCAUACGCCCUAAGGGGGAAAGCGGGGGACCUUCGGGCCUCGUGCUAAUGGAUGAGCCUAAGUCGGAUUAGCUUGUUGGUGAGGUAAAGGCUCACCAAGGCGACGAUCCGUAGCUGGUCUGAGAGGACGAUCAGCCACACUGGGACUGAGACACGGCCAG